rnacentral:rRNA from 1 species
UACAGAGGGUGCAAGCGUUGUUCGGAAUUACUGGGCGUAAAGCGCGUGUAGGCGGCCCUGCAAGUCGGGUGUGAAAUCCCACGGCUCAACCGUGGAAGUGCACUCGAAACUGCAGGGCUAGAGUCCUGGAGAGGAAGGUGGAAUGCUUGGUGUAGAGGUGAAAUUCGUAGAUAUCAAGCGGAACACCGGUGGCGAAGGCGGCCUUCUGGACAGUGACUGACGCUGAGACGCGAAAGCGUGGGGAGCAAACAGG